GGAGGAGUGGGUGAGUGGUUGAAACCACCUGACUUGAAAUCAGGCAAGGGCGCAAGUCCUUCGGGGGUUCGAAUCCCUCCUCCUCCGCCA
rnacentral:tRNA from 3 species